UACGUAGGGUGCAAGCGUUGUCCGGAAUUAUUGGGCGUAAAGAGCUCGUAGGCGGUCUGUCGCGUCGGCUGUGAAAUCCCGGAGCUCAACUCCGGGUCUGCAGUCGAUACGGGCAAACUGGAGUACUGCAGGGGAGACUGGAAUUCCUGGUGUAGCGGUGAAAUGCGCAGAUAUCAGGAGGAACACCGGUGGCGAAGGCGGGUCUCUGGGCAGUAACUGACGCUGGAGGAGCGAAAAGCGUGGGGAGCGAACAGG
rnacentral:rRNA from 1 species